UACGAAGGGGGCUAGCGUUGUUCGGAUUUACUGGGCGUAAAGCGCACGUAGGCGGACUACUAAGUCAGGGGUGAAAUCCCGGGGCUCAACCCCGGAACUGCCUUUGUUACUGGUAGUCUUGAGUUCGAGAGAGGUGAGUGGAAUUCCGAGUGUAGAGGUGAAAUUCGUAGAUAUUCGGAGGAACACCAGUGGCGAAGGCGGCUCACUGGCUCGAUACUGACGCUGAGGUGCGAAAGCGUGGGGAGCAAACAGG
rnacentral:rRNA from 1 species